rnacentral:rRNA from 1 species
UACGGAGGGUGCGAGCGUUGUUCGGAAUCACUGGGCGUAAAGGGCGCGCAGGCGGUCUUAUAAGUCAGAUGUGAAAGCCCACGGCUUAACUGUGGAAGAGCAUUUGAAACUGCAAGACUUGAGUACCAGAGGGGAAAGUGGAAUUCCCGGUGUAGAGGUGAAAUUCGUAGAUAUCGGGAGGAAUACCGGUGGCGAAGGCGACUUUCUGGCUGGAUACUGACGCUGAGGCGCGAAAGCGUGGGGAGCAAACAGG